UCAGACUUCACACCUGUAAUUUUUCUAAAUUGACAUUUUUUUUUCUGAUUUAGGAAAAUCAUGAUAAUGAAUUUAAAUAAUCCACUGAAUGAAUAAGGUUUUUUAUGUUGUGUUUUUAUAAUGGUGUUGUAAUCACCAACAACACCAUUGAGUUAAGAAAGCCUGUAGGCUUUUCUUAAUUUUUUUAGUGGAACACAUGGAUACAUUUUGAAGAACCAUUUGUGUGAGGAACCAACCAAAAUAACUGUAAUGCACUGAACUUUCCCGUUUCAUGGAAAAAUAGCAACAUACGAUUUCGGAAUGAAGGUCACUGAAACUGACACGAAGACUGGUGCAAAAGGAUCUUCAAGAAAUAAUCUGCCCAAAAAUAAAAAUUCUAACAUAAUUUACUCACCUUCAUGUCACUUCAAACCCGUGUGACUUUCUUUCCUCUAUGGGACA